UAAUACAUGUCUAUGUUUUUUUCCUCUGCCCCUUAGACUUUAUUCUAGCUGUUUAGAGUUUUAUUUUGAAAAUAAUUGUUUUGUUUCCGCCGGUGACGUCACUCACGCCCUUUUUUCAAAAGAUUUUUUUGUUUUUUUCCACGGCUAAUGGGAGAAAAACAAGUGAAGUUGAGCAGCUGGAGCUCGCGAAGUACAAUUAACGGAAUUAUUUGCUAUGAACAGUUAUAGUUGUUCAACUUUUAAAGAGUUGGAUCGUUUAUCUUUUAAACAUGCCAGAAAUUCCUCCAAAACAAGAGCGGAAAGGCGGGAUCUGAGGUCGCACGCGGACGCUGAGUUCAGAGGGAAAACAGGGAUGUGAUGGCUGACAGUGGAAGACUGGUGUCUUCAGAAGGAAAGGGGGUCCGCUCCACCUGGUUAAAGGACGACUCCCUGUGGCACAGCACUCCUGUCAAGCAGAGGACCGAUGGCUCCAGUCAGCCGUCAGGACUGACCGGCAUCCAGAUGGACAGAAGUACAAACUCCGGGUUCAGGUCCUCUUCUUUGGAUCCACCAGACUCUCACCUUCUUCGUUUGCAAGAACCGAAGCUCCCUGUGAACGAUGUGAGCAGCUCCACCAUCCAGAGGCAGAGGAGGGAGAUCCAGCUGCUGAUGGAGGAGCUGAAGGACAGAGAGGUGGAGCUGAACUCCAUGGCGACCUCCCAUCACAAGCAGCAUCAGGCCUGGGAACAAGACCGCCAGCGUGUGCUGGUGUUAGAGCAGAGGUGUGCACGCUUACAUGAGGAGCUGCAGAAACGGAACGAGCUGAUCAGAGCUCUGACCGCACGCAUGCUGGCCGUGGAGAGCAGAGAAGAGGAGGCGCAGGAGGAGCUGAGGGCAGCCCGGCUGCAGCUCUGUGGUCUGGAGCAGGAGCAGCGGGAACUCAGACAACGAUGUCGGGACUUUGAGGAGAAGAACCAGACUCUCAGCUCCACUGCCACGGCGCUGUCCACCCAGCUGGGCUCUCUGCAGGCCAGAGAGGAGGAGCUGAGCUCCAUGCUGAAGCUGAAGGAGAACGACGCGACCGAAGCCUCGGCUCGGGUUCGGAGCCUCUCUGGACGCCUCCGAGACGUGGAGCUGCUCCUGACGGAGAGCCAAUCACAGGAGAGCAAACUCCUGAGAGACGUGGAGGAUCACAGACGGCGUUCCAAAGACGCCAAACAGGAAGCCUCACAGCUCAGAGAUCAGCUGCAGCAGCAGGCGGUGCAGAGCAGCACUCAGAGGGAGGAAACCAUCCGACUGAAGCAGGAGCUGCAGCUUCUUCACAGAGACCUGCUGCUCACAGGAGAGGGCGACAGCUGGAAAGAUGAGCUGCUGAUUUGUGCCGGUCUAAACAGGAGCGGAUCACGGCAGAACUUCACCACCUGAGGCAGGUGUGUGAGAAUCAGCGGAACGAGCUGCAGCUUUUGGGUCUGAACCAGGGAAGACGUCCAGAAGAUCUCAGGCAGAAGACCAGCGAGAGGUGAAUGAUGCGAUUCCGUGAGGAGCGGACGUGUCGAUGUGGGAACCGUCCGUCGUCUUCAUCACCUCCACCUGUGGAGGAUCCUCCUCAGGCAGCAGAUCCACAAGUCUGUGAUCUGGGAGGAUUUUCUGCUCAUUUCAUGCAGG